rnacentral:rRNA from 1 species
GAUGAACGCUGGCGGCGUGCCUAAUACAUGCAAGUCGAGCGAACAGACGAGGAGCUUGCUCCUCUGACGUUAGCGGCGGACGGGUGAGUAACACGUGGAUAACCUACCUUUAAGACUGGGAUAACUUCGGGAAACCGGAGCUAAUACCGGAUAAUAUAUUGCACCGCAUGGUUCAAUAGUGAAAGACGGUUUUGCUGUCACUUAUAGAUGGCUCCCCGCCGGAUUGGCUAGUUGGUAAGGUAAUGGCUUACCAAGGCAACGAUGCGUAGCCGACCGCAGAGGCGGAUCGCCCACACUGGAACGGGACCACGGUCCAUGCGACUACGGGACGCAGCAGUAGGGAAUCUGACGCAAUGGGCGAAAGCCUGACGGAGCAAGGCCGCGUGAGUUAUAGAGAUCUUCCGAGCGUAAUACUCGGCUAUUAGGUAAGAACAAAUGUGUAAGUAACUAUGCACGUCGUGACGGUACCUAAUCAGAAAGCCACGGCUAACUACGUG